CAGGACCACUAAUAUGUUCCGGUGUCCUCAGGCUGACUUUUCUAAUGGGCUCACUAGGUCCAUAGCGAUGCGUUAAAAAGGGACCUCAAUAAUAGAUAGGGGUAUCAUUGGGGCUCUCAAGUGUGGCUGGGGCCCAUGAAGCUGGCAUUCAGAGCAAGAGGCACAAUAACGCCGAGCCUCCAUAUAUAUACCCCAGGCCAGUAGAACCUUCCUAAAAUCUGAUCUAGGGUCUUCUCAACUCCUAGGUGACCCCCCCAAAUAAAUGACUGUGUGCUAGGUCCAGCACAGCUCGCCGGUGAUUCUGAGGCACCAAGAGCUGUUCCACCUCCUGUCCUGGGCCUGGCAGCACUCAGUAUAGUAGAUCCCUCUUGAUAAUGUAAUAGGGUCUAGGGCCCUUGAGCCUUCCUUCUACACGGAUCCAGUUUACUUCAACUACCUCUCUACGAAUGUUUUGAUACAGCGGGUUGUUGGCCUGGUCCUGUCCAAAAUUUUCAAGCGAGGGCCCUACCUGCCUGAGCUUUGGGGAACCUUCAGCCUCUUUCAUCCCAGGGGGCCCUGCUAAGCUAGGCCCAGCCUCCAGCUCGUUUACCUCUCUCAGUGCUUCAUUAUCAGUUGGCUCAGUUUCCCCCCGGGCCAGGGCCUGCCUUAGGUUCUGGGUCAGAAUUCAAGUACCCAGUUUCUUGGCUGCCCUCCUUUUCUGCUUUGAUUUCCGGGGUUUCCCAAGCUCAGAAAAUAGGUCCUGGGAAAAUUCAUGAAAACUUGGGAGGGGGCUCUCUUCCUUUCCCUCAGUUGUAGGGAGCAGGUCACUAAAUCCAGGGAAGUCCCACCCAAUCACAACUGGGUAUGGGAGCCUCGGAACUACCCCCACUGCAACCAUUGUGACAUUCCCCUGGAUCUCUAUUUGUACGGGGACAACAAGGUAAUAAUUGACAUCUCCAUGGACACAGGAGAUCCCUGUGCGCUUGGCAUGGGUCAGCUGGUCUGGUUCCAUCAGCUGCCCAGAGACCAAUGUAACGACGCUCCCUGAGUCCACCAAGGCCGUGGUCUCUAUUCCAUUCAUCUUAACAGGUGCCCUGUGAAGGACGCCAGACCAUCACCACCCAGUUGAAACACCAGAAGUACAACCCUUCCAUUUUUGUGAGUCUAACACUAAAAAUAUUAACCUGUCAGAGGUGAUGAAGAAAGUCCUUUUUCUUCAACAGCUGAAGUGCUCUGCUGUCUCCUGCCUCAUAGUGUAGUGGGGUAGGAACUGAAUGAGGGCUGGUUUCAAAACAGCAUCUGAAUGCUACAAUGAUGAGCAUACUACUAAUACUUGAGGGAUUGACAGCAUUGCUGAUGUCACAACACAUGAAGAAAAGUAGCAAUACUAUUGGAUAAUGUGUUCAAAGGUCAUCCGUUGGGCCAGCAAGCACAAACUGUUGCAUCAGUUUUAAAAAAGUGUAAGAAGAUCGUUACAUCAAUAUAAACCUUGAGCUAUGUUCUUGAAAAGGUGUAUACAUUGGGUUAGUCAUCCCCACGCUAUAUUUUAUGCCCUGUCAUUCCUGAGCACAGUGCACCCCUAUUAAAAAUGUGAAAUACAGUUCAAUUUCACCACUGCCUAACUCCUACCCAGUGUAGGAAUGUCUGCUUUUUCAAGCUCUUAAACAAGGCUUGGAUUUCAUAUAGUACAACAACUAUGCACUCCAAGCCACCCAAUCAUCAUCCUUCUGCACUUAUACAUUCCACCUUUCAUCCAGAAAGAUCACAGAAUGCUUUACUAACUACACAUAUGCAAAGAAACCAAUCCCACAGCAGCUACCACCAGAAUGUAAUGUGGGAGCUGUUCAGUGUUGCUGUGCAUUGUUAAAACAGGACAAGAAAAAAUGAACAUAGUGCCAUCCCCAUCAAACAGCAGGAAGAAGAGAAGAUGGCAGAAAAGAAUUGCCUGUGUGGAACCUGGCUAGAACGCACAGGCUAGCACACAUUACACUACUGUUCUCGUCUGAAAAGAGAGGCUCUAAUCUUAGGAACUUUGUCCAUGGCAUCACAGUGGAGCACUGGUUCAAUACCGACCAGGAUUGCCAGAUCAAAGUUCAAGUGUGUAACAUUUUACCUGAAACUCAGCCCUGACAAUUUACAAGUAUGAAGCAGUGAACACACACAAAAGGUAAUGACAGAGAUUUGCCUUGUUCACUGUGAAUAUCAAGUGACAUGCUUUCACAUGCCUUGUGUUCUCCCACUACACACUAGGCCAAAGUCUCCUUUUUCAAUUCCUGGUUUUAAAGCUGUCUGACUACGUAUAUUCCAUAAUAUAACUAUCAGCUUUAGGCUGGCUCACUGUUGAUAUGCACUCACUAUGGUCCUGCCAGAGAGUUUUUAUACCUCUUAUCAAAAAUGAUCUCGUUUGGUGUAUAUUAUACUGCUACACAUAUGGGUAUCAUGGAUUCAUGCUUAGAGCAGAGCCAUUCUCGUCCUCCUUGCGACACCAGCUUUGUUUCCACUUGAUUAAUCAGUGCAUAUUCAUUUCUCGUUUGUCCUGUAAGGAACUUGAUGGUGUGUCAGGCCACAGUGCAUGCACAGAGAUGCCAACAAAUGAGGGGAAACAUUUUUUUUUUUUUUUUUUUAAGGAUACUGACGCCACAGUCAUUAAGAGAACCACGUGCUAUUUGUGACUUUCUGUAGCAAAGACUCAAGGUCUGAUGUAGCUGAUCAGCCUUCAUUGUGCACAUUUGCGAUAGAGCUGUUCCGUUAUUGGCCAGAUUCAGGUGGUUGCUGCUCCAUGCUUCAGAUGGACCCGGGGCGUGGUGGCAGUGCUACUGGCCCCACUCCACUGGUGUUGUUCAGAAGAGGAGGGGUCAAGAGCUGGGAGAGAAGAGGCAGAGUGGGGGUAGGACAGGGGCCAAGCAGAGGAGGGGGUUGUCCUGGGCCCUGCCCCCCUCCGAGGACAGCCUUAUUAUGUAUUAAAUUACAUGCAUAUAACAAACAAACAGUCUCCCCCUUGAGCACAGGGUCUCACACUGAACGAAUAAGAGGAAAGGCUGCCAUGCUUUGGAAUAGAUUUCAGUGUCACUGCAGUCCUGCACUCCUUUAUCAACUUCUCUAGGACUACAGGAAACUCUUGAGAUGUGACUGACCAAGUUGCGACCACCCGCACUUAUAACAAUUUCUGUAAGUGUGGAAGGGGCCGAAAACCCACAACAUACAUCCUCAGCCCAUAUUUAUGACAGCGAACAACGCCCAUCAUAAAUGAGGGUCCAAGUUACGAUGCCCUCGACUUGCAACUCUUCCCAGGAACUGAUAACGUUGCAAGUCAGGGGCCACCUGUAUGUAGUUGGCUCCCAAAGAGCACUCAUUUGCAGCACCGAUUUAAUCAGUCCUCAGACUUGUCCUGAAGGUUCCAAGGUGAGUGGAAUGUUUGGCUACACAAAGCACUUCAGCUCACAUGGUUUAAGCAGCUGGCAAGGUUGCCAAAGAAAACUAAGGCAGCUCCCAAAGUCUCCUGAUACCUGAGACUGUUUUGAUCAACUAAACACAAGCCGCCAAGUGCCUUUGGCUGCUCCUUGCCUUUUUUUGGGGGGUGGGGGGAGAAUUCAACCAGGUUUAAAUCAGAGGAUGACAUCAAAUGGGGGGUGGAGGGUUUGCAAAUACAGAAGACAAUAGAACUGCAAUGUGAAGGGGCUACUACAGGUUGCACCUAUAAACCGGGACACUGGUCUGCAGGACCAGUUCUAGGAUCAGAGACCUGGCUUGCUGCAGGGGUGAAGGGAGCUGGCACAUGGCCCAGCUGGGCUGCAGGGAGAGCCAAGAAGCCCAGCACAUGGCCCAACUGAGCUGUGGAGGAAGGGGUAGGAAUC